AAAAAUCACAGCACCAUGAAUUUUGUUCCAAUAUUAAAAUUUAAAAAAAAAAGUGAAAUAAGUUCUUGUGAUAUUAGUUUUAAACGAAGGUAUUUUAUAGAAAUCAAUGAAAAUGUUCUGCUCGAACCUAUUUCACAGAAAAUAAGUUCUGUGCUUGCAUGGGGUACAUUUGCAAUUGAAGGAAUGACUUUAGGAUGAAGAUAAGAAAUAAAAGCGAUGAUAAUGUAUCUAUGUUUGAUCGUUUAUGUGGUAUUC
rnacentral:lncRNA from 1 species